GGCGGGCGCUUCGAAAGGAGCUGCUGCUGCAUCCAACUCGGCUGGAAUUAGAACGGAGGCAGAUUUUGAGCGGGAGGACGAGGAGGGCAGCGGCGGCAGGUGAACGCAGCGCUGCGUAGGGCGAAGAUGCUGGAAAGGAGCGGAGGCGAAACAGGACGCUCCGGGGCGUGGAAGGAGGGAUGGAGAGCGGGAAACCGGGAAGACUGGGGCAAGGAAGUUCCUGGGCAACCAAACACCAGCUGCCUUCGAGACGUCUCAUGCCCAAACUUAACUUUCGCUUCCCUUGGAUUCGGCUCCCACUCGCUGGGUUUUGCUUUUCCUUUCUGCAGACUGUGAAGGUUGAAGGGGGGCGGGAGUGAGAGCAGAUUUCGAAGUGCAGCCGAAAACUUGUAACAGCUGAUGCUGCUCUUGCUUUGGAAGUGCUUGCAGGUAGAUGCUGCUCGAGGGUUGGGGGGGGGGUGACCGGGAGCAUCGGCGUGUUGCCUUUCCCCCCAGACUUGGCUGAGGAGGGACAGGAGCAGCCGAGGGGUGGGAUGGUGGCAGCAUCACCACCUGAAUGUGGGGAGAUUCUCCUGUCCAUUCAUUUCAUUGGAAUUUUGCAUCUUCCAAGAAUCCUAAAUUGCAGUGGGGUUGGUUUGUUUUUUAAGCCAAAGCAAACGAACAACACCAUCUGGAGCAUGCACCCGUUCCCUCCUGAACUCUUCAAUAGUUAUGUAGAUGGUUUGGUGCCAGUGGACCUUAUUCUGAUCUCAGUUUGCAUUUACACAGGAGGAAUCACUAUGUCCUUGAGGUUAAGCAAGUGGAACUGAAAUCAGAAUCUGGCAACCUUUCCUCCAACCCUCUCUUCCUUUCUCUCUCUGUCAGGUUUUGCCCAAGAGAUCUUUCUGAGCAUUUGCUGCUAAUAUUAACCUUCCUCUUCCUCUUUCUCUUCCUCUGUCUUUGUUACGUGUUCAUGUCUCUCUGUUUUGUAUGUGUGCGGUUCAUAAGUAUCUUGAAGAAAGAAAACACCCCGUCAGUGAGGAGCAUCUGCUCUCAUGUGCUCAUAUAAUCUGUCACUUGACCUCUCGUGUUGUAGGAUCACUUGCAACACCAUAGAGAAAGUCACAGUUUAAUUCACAUUGCCUCUUUCCUCGGAGGCUUGUCCGCUUUUUAGCAGGAAGGAAGGGGGGGGGAGGCAAGUGUAGAUUACAAUUUAGAACACAAUAAAAUUCUAGCAUGACAUGUGCCUACUUCUUAUUUUAAGAAGAGAGGGCAUUUUCCAAUUUUCAUGAGUGUUGUGGGGUCUCAAGAGCAGGUGAAAACCUUCAUUAUUUAAUCUGACAUAAUCUAUCCCUGGAUGGGAAAACUACCAUAGCUAUUGAUAACAAACCCAUUGUAACCAGCACUAACAUUAGGGUCUGUGCAUGCACAAGCAGAGGCACUCGCUGCGUUACUCCAUCUCUGUCUCCAUGUAAUAAGCAUUUGGGAUGGGAGUAUUGCUUCUGCUGGUGCUACAAAAUUAAUGUGGAAUGCUAAAUCAGUAACCACAGUUGACCAUGGAACAGCCCUUUUGAGUGAGUCAAGCAGCAUCAUAAUCUAUCGACUAAGUAGAGCUACAUUUUCUUAACGGUGUAUUUCAGGCUAUUGGUAUAUUACAUGCUGAAGCCAUAUGGGGUGUUGGGAAUAAAGUCCGAACAUUUAUUUGCCAGCUCAUGAAAAUUAAGAGCAGGCAGCAGUGGGUGCUUUUGUCAAAUGUAAUAACAGAAAGUACCCUGGUCGCUCCUUGUUGUGAUUUCAGACUAGUUUGAAAUGGAGACCUUGAGGAACAAAGAACCCUGGGCACUUGAGCCUCAUGCUAGCCAGCUGUUCUGUCACUGGCGCUAUGCAGCUUGCCAAGAUUGUUGAAGGCUAGUGGCACAUAUGCAACUUUGUCGAACUUAAAAAGGGUGGCUGCAGGAGUGUUCCCCUGCAGUGUAGGGCCUGCUCACCUUCAUUAUGUUUCCUGAGCUUUUAUUGAUUCCCCAUUUAGCGAUUCAAAGUGACUUGCCAAGAUUGGGUCUGCUCAAGUGGGCAUUGGUGUGUGUGUGUGUGUUUAAAUGUAAAAAGAAAAAUUGAAUUUACAAAACAGUGGCAGCUUUACAUAACAUGCCAACUCAAAAAAGAACAAAUAAACGUAUAAUGCACUACAGUGAAAUAAGGCAAUGGAAGUUUUAAUGUUCUUUUCUAGAUCCAAGGACCCUGUACCUACCCUGCUUUGUGUUUCAAGGAUCUUUGUGUGAUCCUAUGUGUCACAGAAAUCAGAUGUCAAGGUUUGAGGGCAUUCAAGGUUCUUUUGCGCCCUCUGUGAUUCUGUCUUUUAUCCAGUAAGGAUUCCUGUGCACUACGUAUAGCUGGGGGCAGUGCUAUUUUUCUAGAAAAAAGAGGUGCCGGAACUCACCAUGAAUGCCUCCCUUGUUCUCUUAUAAUGGCAAUAGCACCCACCUGAGAGGUGCCAUAACUGAUUUCCAGUUGGAAAACAGCCCUGGCUGGGGGAAAUCUCCUCGCACACCUACAGAGCUACUAUUUCUAUGUUCCAAGAGAUUAUAUAGAAAUAGUAAUGCAUACAUAGUUAUGCAAACUGAGUGUACAUUCUGUGCUUUUGGAACUUCAGCAUUUGGACUGGAUCACCAGACUUCGAUCUUGAAUUCAAGAAAUAGUAACAAUCCCCACUGAUAUUUAUGUGGUUGUGGGAGGCAUGAAGAAAGAAUGAGCCAAAUUUUUAUUUCAGAUGGCGAACCACAGGUAUCGGAGUUAUGUUGAGGGGGCAACAAUAUAGGUGUUGCAAAAAUUGUAGCUAUGCCAUUGCAUUGUGUUGCAUUGGAAAAAUGAACCAUUAUUUUAAAAGGUAGAAUGAUGCUACUUCCCCCAUUGCUUGCAAUUAAAAGAAGGCAGUACAUACAUUACUUCAAGUUAACAAAUAGUUCUGCGAAUAUUCAGUGAAGUUCACCAUACUAGUUGAGAACCUGUGCUCAGUUAUUCUGUUAUCACUGCGUAAUGGAACAUUGUUUCACUGCUUGGCUAUGUCUCUGCAGUGCUUUUCCAUACUAUCUUCUAUACAGGCUAAUCUGAAGAAGUGUGCAUGCACACGAAAGCUCAUACCAAAAUAAAAACUUAGUUGGUCUUUAAGGUGCUACUGAAGGAAUUUUUUUUUAUUUUACUUCGAUCCAGACCAACACGGCUACCUACCUGUAAACAGGCUAAUACUGUAUGGGGAAACUUGUCCCUUUGAGCCAAAGGGACAAGUUGAUUUCAUGUAUGGCUCCAGCUUUUUAACUUAAUAAUAUAUGGAGGGAAUUGUGUAUGAGACUUUGCUUUCAACCAGGGCAUUUCUAAAAUUUGCCUUCGCAUUAUGCUAACUGAACGUAGCAAAUAAAUAAUCAAAAGCUCCUAGCCAACUAUGGUUCUAGCCCCAUUAUGGUUCUGACUUUCCUAUCUGCCUAAAGCUUCCUUUACAAGCCUCUGCUAACUGCCAUUACCCUUACUGAGCAGUUUUCCAUUUUGUCUGUUACAUUUAUAUCUCCCUUUCCUGUAAAGAAUUGUGACAUAUAACUUAAAGGUACAGUUGACUGAGAGAGAAUGGCUGACCCCAGGUCAUCCAGCAAACCUCCAGGUGGGAAUGUGAACUUUGACCUUCCCCCGCCCAGGGUUCGAUCCACUGUACGGACUCUGCCACAAGUACCGGCAGAUUAGAAUACAGCCAAUAUUACUACUGCCUAUACUCGCGACUGGACCGUGUUUCCAGUGAGAGAUACAUAUUACAAACGCAUGCAAUAACUUAAGGGGACUGCAAACCUGAUAUGGUUCACAUUCAGGUGUUUGGGGGGUUGAAGUAUGUGAAGAUCCUAAGGGUGUUAUGACUUCAAGCAUUGCCACUGUUAUUGAACAAAAUGCUUUUGCUCUCCGGUCACCUCAAUGCACCUAUGCUACAUUUUAAUUGUGGCACCUAUAUAUGCCUAGUCAAAACCCAAAAGUUUUCUUUACAGUAGUCAUUUUUCAUUUCCAUCUGCAUCUCUUUCAAUUCUCUACUUUUCCUCUUUCUUCCCCGGCAUUGGUUUCAUCAGACACCCCUUUCCCCUCUAUCUUUUUUGAAGGAGCCCUUCCUCUCUCUUAAUUCCACUGUUAUUCUCUUUACCCUGCUUCUUUGUUUCAGCUGAAAAAUUGCUCCCCUUUAAAAACAAAAAGCCCACCUUUCCCAGUCAUUCUGGUAAGUAUUUUCUCCAGAGAACCAUCCUGCAAAGGUUAGCGCAAGAACCAAUAGCAAGUCUUCUUUUGUUUUCCUGUCUAGAUUCUCUGCCCAGGAGAAAUAUGGGGUCUUCCCAGUAGAACCUGCCAUUUUCCCCAAAACAACAGAAACUAAUGGAAAGAGGGCGGAGUUUAGAUAUUAUAGGGCACAGAAUAGAAAACUGCACCAACAGCAUCUAGCCAAAGACGCAGAAGUGAAGGAUUACCCAGGGAAUUGUUUCUCAUGGAUCAGUACCAUGUAAAAUUCACUCAGGAGCCAUAUACAACAAUGCUUAUGGGAAAUGCACGUCAUAUGUGGGAGCAGAAUAGUGGAUAGAGAUUUUGCAAGUAACUCUUGCUUUGCUGGCUGUGGGAAUACUGAGAUGCAAAUGGAUGGUGCGUCAAGACAGCCCCAAAUUAUUUUGGCCACAUCAAGUAACAAAGACUCCAAAAUGUGACUCUCCAAGAUGCAAUUCCAGGGUGCACAUUAAGCAGAGGUCUGUUUGGACUCUUUGGAGAAAGCCCUUCCUUAAGGUUCCUAUAGAAUCCAGAAUGGAUAGCACAGGAUAACAAAGCUGUUCCGCUGUUCUUUUAAUUUUUGCUACCUUUUAGGGGGUCUUCUCUUUAUUUCUACCAUCUUGCCGAAUAUCCUUUCUUACAUCAAAUUCUCCUUUCACAACUCAAGAGGUUGCGUUACCCCGCAGCACUUUUGGCCCAGGGAUUCUCCAUGGUGACCGACUGGACAACUUCCAAUACAGCCUAAACCUGCCUUUUUUGUCAGCUCCAUUGAUAAAUGCAUGGUGAAGUCUGUGUAGCUACAACCUUCAUGUUGGGAAGAGAAAAGGGCAGUAAGGAAGGGUUCAGGCAAUGGGUAUCUCUUCCCAGAGGCUCAUCUUCUUACCGGAUGCAUUAUUU